rnacentral:rRNA from 1 species
AACGAACGCUGGCGGCAGGCUUAACACAUGCAAGUCGAACGCCCCGCAAGGGGAGUGGCGCACGGGUGAGUAACGCGCGGGAAUAUGCCCUUCGGUUCGGAAUAACACAGGGAAACUUGUGCUAAUACCGGGUACGAUCUACGGAUGACAGAUUUAUCGCCGCGGGAGUGGCCCGCGUAGGAUUAGCUAGUUGGUGAGGUAAUGGCUCACCAAGGCGACGAUCCUUAGCUGGUCUGGGAGGAUGAUCAGCCACACUGGGACUGAGACACGGCCCAGACUCCUACGGGAGGCAGCAGUGGGGAAUAUUGGACAAUGGGGGAAACCCUGAUCCAGCCAUGCCGCGUGAGUGAUGAAGGCCUUAGGGUUGUAAAGCUCUUUCGCCAGGGAAGAUAAUGACGGUACCUGGAGAAUAAGCUCCGGCUAACUCCGUGCCAGCCGCCGCGGUAAUAC